rfam:Sphingobacterium sp. ACCC 05744 h2651, whole genome shotgun sequence.
GAUGAGCUUUGCGUGAGGGAUAGAAGCGGCAUUCUUUUGUGGAGCAUUGGCGAAACAAAAGAUAUAGCGGAUAGCCCGGCCCGCU